CCUACGGGUGGCAGCAGUGGGGAAUAUUGCACAAUGGGGGGAACCCUGAUGCAGCGACGCCGCGUGAGUGAAGAAGUAUUUCGGUAUGUAAAGCUCUAUCAGCAGGAACGAGACAAGACGGUACCUGACUAAGAAGCCCCGGCUAACUACGUGCCAGCAGCCGCGGUAAUACGUAGGGGGCAAGCGUUAUCCGGAAUCACUGGGUGUAAGGGGAGCGUAGACGGCUGAGCAAGCCUGAAGUGAAAGGCGGGGGCCCAACCCCCGGACUGCUUUGGGAACUGUACGGCUGGAGUGCAGGAGAGGUAAGUGGAAUUCCUAGUGUAGCGGUGAAAUGCGUAGAUAUUAGGAGGAACACCAGUGGCGAAGGCGACUUACUGGACUGUAACUGACGUUGAGGCUCGAAAGCGUGGGGAGCAAACAGGAUUAGAUACCCUUGUAGUC
rnacentral:rRNA from 1 species